UACGUAGGGGGGCAAGCGUUGUCCGGAUUUACUGGGCGUAAAGAGCGUGUAGGCGGCCACGCAGGUCCGUUGUGAAAACUGGAGGCUCAACCUCCAGCUGUCGACGGAAACCGUAUGGCUAGAGUCCGGAAGAGGAGAGUGGAAUUCCUGGUGUAGCGGUGAAAUGCGCAGAUAUCAGGAAGAACACCAAUGGCGAAGGCAGCUCGCUGGGACGUGACUGACGCUGAGACGCGAAAGCGUGGGGAGCAAACAGG
rnacentral:rRNA from 1 species